rnacentral:rRNA from 1 species
CCUACGGGUGGCAGCAGUGGGGAAUAUUGGGCAAUGGGCGCAAGCCUGACCCAGCAACGCCGCGUGAAGGAAGAAGGCUUUCGGGUUUUAAACUUCUUUUUUUGAGGACGAAACAAAUGACGGUACUCAAUGAAUAAGCCACGGCUAACUACGUGCCAGCAGCCGCGGUAAUACGUAGGUGGCAAGCGUUAUCCGGAUUUACUGGGUGUAAAGGGCGUGUAGGCGGGACUGGAAGUAAGAUGUGAAACCAAUGGGCUCAACCCAAGGCUUGCAGUUGAAACUGUAGUUCUUGAGUGAUGGUGAGGCAGGCGGAAUGCGGGGUGUAGCGGUGAAAUGCAUAGAUAUAAGGAGGAACACCGGUUGCGAAGGCAGCCUACUGGACAUUAACUGACGCUGAGGCGCGAAAGCGUGGGGAGCAAACAGGAUUAGAUACCCGUGUAGUC